GACGAACGCUGGCGGCGUGCCUAAUACAUGCAAGUAGAACGCUGAAGAGAGCAGCUUGCUCUUCUUGGAUGAGUUGCGAACGGGUGAGUAACGCGUAGGUAACCUGCCUUGUAGCGGGGGAUAACUAUUGGAAACGAUAGCUAAUACCGCAUAACAAUGGAUGACACAUGUCAUUUAUUUGAAAGGGGCAAUUGCUCCACUACAAGAUGGACCUGCGUUGUAUUAGCUAGUAGGUGAGGUAAUGGCUCACCUAGGCGACGAUACAUAGCCGACCUGAGAGGGUGAUCGGCCAAACUGGGACUGAGACACGGCCCAGACUCCUACGGGAGGCAGCAGUAGGGAAUCUUCGGCAAUGGGGGCAACCCUGACCGAGCAACGCCGCGUGAGUGAAGAAGGUUUUCGGAUCGUAAAGCUCUGUUGUAAGUCAAGAACGGGUGUGAGAGUGGAAAGUUCACACUGUGACGGUAGCUUACCAGAAAGGGACGGCUAACUACGUG
rnacentral:rRNA from 1 species